AGCAAAGCAGUGAGUGCUUCAUCAUGCGAGGACAAGCAAAAGAGAUUUGUUCUAGGUAGCAGAAUUUGCCCCUUAUCGACUAACCUUCUUGUACGUUGCAGGGUACAAAUUAAUGAUCAGCCUUAAAUUAAAAGGAGAGAACAUCAACCCCCAGAUGAUGCAAAGAUGUGCAAGGCUCAGCAUCAAAUGCACCUGCAGAGUGUAUAAAGCUGGAGAAAAUGUCACGGCAGCCAACUGAAGAAGAGGCAAGGGAGAGGAACACAGCAAAUAUAAUGAGAAAGGCAUCUCUCAGGAAAGUGCUUACAACAGAUAGCAGAACAAAAACUGACAGAUGCAGGAUCAAGUUGCACAAUGAAGGGUGGCUAAGCUUCUUUGAAGAUGAAUACUUCAUAUUCAAAAUAAAAUAGAUCAUUGGAUUUA